AUUGAACGCUGGCGGCAUGCCUUACACAUGCAAGUCGAACGGCAGCACGGGAGCAAUCCUGGUGGCGAGUGGCGAACGGGUGAGUAAUACAUCGGAACGUGCCCAAUCGUGGGGGAUAACGCAGCGAAAGCUGUGCUAAUACCGCAUACGAUCUACGGAUGAAAGCAGGGGAUCGCAAGACCUUGCGCGAAUGGAGCGGCCGAUGGCAGAUUAGGUAGUUGGUGAGGUAAAGGCUCACCAAGCCGUCGAUCUGUAGCUGGUCUGAGAGGACGACCAGCCACACUGGGACUGAGACACGGCCCAGACUCCUACGGGAGGCAGCAGUGGGGAAUUUUGGACAAUGGGCGAAAGCCUGAUCCAGCCAUGCCGCGUGCAGGAUGAAGGCCUUCGGGUUGUAAACUGCUUUUGUACGGAACGAAACGGCCUUUUCUAAUAAAGAGGGCUAAUGACGGUACCGUAAGAAUAAGCACCGGCUAACUACGUGCCAGCAGCCGCGGUAAUACGUAGGGUGCAAGCGUUAAUCGGAAUUACUGGGCGUAAAGCGUGCGCAGGCGGUUAUGUAAGACAGUUGUGAAAUCCCCGGGCUCAACCUGGGAACUGCAUCUGUGACUGCAUAGCUAGAGUACGGUAGAGGGGGAUGGAAUUCCGCGUGUAGCAGUGAAAUGCGUAGAUAUGCGGAGGAACACCGAUGGCGAAGGCAAUCCCCUGGACCUGUACUGACGCUCAUGCACGAAAGCGUGGGGAGCAAACACGAGUAGAUACCCUGGUAGUCCAAUGGCGAAUUCCACAUUGGGCUGCAGCCCGGGGAUCCACUAGUUCUAGAGCGGCCGCACCGCGUGAGCUCCAAAGUACGCCUAUAAUGAGUCCUAUUAGCGCGUCAGGGCGUGGUUUACACA
rnacentral:rRNA from 1 species